CCUACGGGAGGCAGCAGUGAGGAAUAUUGGUCAAUGGACGCAAGUCUGAACCAGCCAUGCCGCGUGCAGGAUGACGGCCCUAUGAGUUGUAAACUGCUUUUGUACGGGGGUAAACGCAGAUACGUGUAUCUGACUGCAGGUAUCGUACGAAUAAGGAUCGGCUAACUCCGUGCCAGCAGCCGCGGUAAUACGGAGGAUUCAAGCGUUAUCCGGAUUUAUUGGGUUUAAAGGGUGCGUAGGCGGGCGGAUAAGUUAGUGGUGAAAUGCCGAGGCUCAACUUCGGCACUGCAUCGGAUACUGGUCGGCGAGAGAGUAGCGGCGGUAGGCGGAAUGUAUGGUGUAGCGGUGAAAUGCUUAGAGAUCAUACAGAAUACCGAUUGCGAAGGCAGCCUACC
rnacentral:rRNA from 1 species